rnacentral:rRNA from 1 species
AACGAACGCUGGCGGCAUGCCUAACACAUGCAAGUCGAACGAGACCUUCGGGUCUUGUUUCGCACGGGUGCGUAACGCGUGGGAACCUACCCUUAGGUUCGGAAUAACUCCCCGAAAGGGGACCUAAUACCGGGUAAUGUCUUCGGACAAAAGAUUUAUCGGCUAUGGAUGUGCCCGCGUUGGAUUAAAUAGCUGGUAAACUAAAUGCCCACCCAGGCGACGAUCCAUAGCUGGUCUGAGCGGAUGAUCAGGCCCACUGGGACUGGGAGACGUCGCAGACUCCUGCGGGUGGAAGCAGUGGGGAAUAUUGGACAAUGGGCGAAUGCCUGAUCCAGCAAUGCCGCGUGAGUGAUGAAGGCCUGAGGGUUGUAAAGCUCUGUUACCCGGGAUGAUAAUGACAGUACCGUAAGAAUAAGCUCCGGCUAACUCCGUG